GGGGGCAUAUUUUAGUUGGUAAAAUUUCAAUUUUGCAUGUCGAAGUCCUCGGUUCGAUCCCGAGUGCCUCCA